CUGGACAAUCCUGGCAUGUAUGGCAAUGCAGACACCACAUCAGUGGAUACACUAAUGGAUAAGAAUAGCAUUGAGGUGCCAUAUUCACAUUUCGGAGAGUUGGCUCCUGGUCCAACAAUGGCUGAAUUGUCCUCUUCAGAAAUAGAGGAAAUGACUCAACCCCUUGAAGUGAAAUGCAAUUAUUUUAACUUUCCUCAUGGUAGUGACUCUGAGCCUUUUGGUGAAGAUUUUCUAGAUGCACAGAAUACAAACUGCCCCAAAGAGAAAAUACCCAACCAUCACAAAGAGGAGAAGCGUAAUUCUCCAUCUGAAAGAACAUGUACGCCUGUUACUCAAACCUUUGCUUCUGCUGGUAAUAAAGUCCACCCUGUCUGCAGUGAUGUUAUUAAAACUCAGCCAUUACCUGGAAGUAGUAUAACUCAUGGCGCACUUCAGGAAGGCGACUCUUUGGAUAAACUCUAUGCUCUUUGUGGUCAACAUUGUCCGAUACUAACUGUUAUUAUUCAACCUGUAAAUGAGGAAGACCGAGGAUUUGCUUAUCGAAAAGAUUCCGAUAUUGAAAAUUCUUUGGGUUUUCAGUUAUGGAUGGAAAUAUAUCCAUUUCUGCUACAGUCAAAGAAAAACAUGUUCACAAGUGAGAGCAGGAAAGUGAAUGUGGGCAAACAAUUUACUGAUAAUGCCAUUGGUAAUCUGUGUGAUCGACUUUAUUUCAAAAACAUGAUUGACUUGGUGGAUAAAAGAGCUAACUCUUUGAGGGAGGAAGUUAAUUUGAACAAAGUUCAAUUAUAUUUAAAGAAAAGGUUUUCAGAUCUUUUGCCUUCAUCGUCACUAGUGGUGUGGGAUAUGAAUUCUGUUUCACUAACCCCCAGCAACUGGACAGAUAACUUCAAAAGUGUUGAUGAGAACAACUUCAUUAACAGAUUCCAGAACUCAAGAAAAAAUCCCAACCAAGUAGUAAGAGAAGAAAACAGUUGUCAAUUCCAUUGGGAGCUGUUUGGUCAAGUUUACUUGUUAGAUAUUUGCCAAGUUGAGAAAUCCUUACAUAUCAAAACCAGAAGUAAAUUAGAAAUAUAUUACAUUUUAGGGGGUGAAGUUCUUUUCAUUUGGGAAGAAGAAAAUCAAUUAAAUAUAAUAGAUAUUGAAAGCCCUAAUGAUCAGAAUGAUUUAUAACUUCAAUAUUAGCACAAUCAUUAGCUGUCAAUUAUGUUUUUCCCAUAAAAAGGUACAGUACAUGGGAUAGACUUUAGGCUAGAUUCUCUAAGAAUUCCUUGCUUUUUCAAAAUGAGAAUACCUUGGAAAACAUAUUCUUGGAUAAAAUAAAUUUGUUUUUUUUUAUUGCUUUGUUCCUCAUUUUCUCAGUAAUUAAAGUUUUAUGUAGUUUUAUUUUAAACAUGCAUUAUUUUGUAUAGCUAUGAUUUUGUCUGAUCAGGAUAUAAGAAAUAUGGCCAGGACAAGAAAUAUGUCCUUAAAAUGUUGUCAAGUGCAUAUAUGAUAUUGAAUAUAUUAGUGAAUAAAUAUAACUUUAAACUAUUUCAUUUAAGUGCUGAUUGAAUAAAAAGUAUUAUUAAAGCUC
rnacentral:lncRNA from 1 species